rnacentral:rRNA from 1 species
AUUGAACGCUGGCGGAAUGCUUAACACAUGCAAGUCGAGCGGGCUGUAGCAAUACAGCUAGCGGCGGACGGGUGAGGAACACAUAGGAAUCUGCCUCGAAGUGGGGGAUAGCCCGGGGAAACCCGGAUUAAUACCGCAUGAUGUCGCAAGACCAAAGCAGGGGACCGUAAGGCCUUGCACUUUGAGAUGAGCCUAUGUCGGAUUAGCUAGUUGGCGGGGUAAAGGCCCACCAAGGCGACGAUCCGUAGCUGGUCUGAGAGGACGAUCAGCCACACCGGAACUGAGACACGGUCCGGACUCCUACGGGAGGCAGCAGUGGGGAAUAUUGGACAAUGGGCGCAAGCCUGAUCCAGCAAUUCCGCGUGUGUGAAGAAGGCCUGGUGUAAG